rnacentral:misc_RNA from 1 species
GGGAACCAAAGGUUUGUAAAAUAUUUGUGUCUUGUUUUAUUCUUGAUUUUCUAGAAUUAUUUCUUUUUGUGGCUAGUGUCAUUUAAAAUUUGCUAUAUUUUAUCUUCUAUGUUUAGAGUCAAGAGGUGUUUGUUUUAUUUUUGAUGUCUAGAAGUUCAAUGAAUGUUGUAAAAUUGGUUUUGAUGAUAUCUUGAACUCCUCAUACGAUGAUCAUAAUUUUGGUAUUCCUGUUUACGUGGCCCUUUGGUGCAUUGAACAAAUUGAUAUCUUUGCUACUUUUUUUACAGGCUAUAGAAAAUGGUUGAUGCAUCAGUUCAUUGUGCAUAUGGGAUAUUAAAGGAUCUUACAAACCAUCCAUUUUAGUGAUUGCCUGUCAUGUGAUCAUACCUUGCAUAAGCUUCUUGAAAUCAUGCUGUCAGAUUUUGGUAUUGAAGGUGUACUAUUCACUUAGUCAUUACAGUUACCAUACGAAAAGUUGGACGUGAAUUCUGAUAUGGGCUGGCUUACUUAUUUUGAAGUUUAAUAUGCUUCAGAUUUCGUCCAAGAGUUUUAUGUGGCCAAAACUAAUCUGAUGCAGUUUAGGCACAAGCAUUACCAUUAAAGUGUUUUUUCCCUCGUGUGUUUGUAAUUUGGUAUAUAUUCCUUCACUAACUGUAAGAAAUAUGUUGGAAUGCACUUCCAACUGCUGUUCUUUGUGCUAGUUAACUAUGAUUAAGGUAUAAAAUCUAAUUGAACAUGUGCAAAAGUUUUCCGGGAUGGAAUAGUAACAACUAUUUUGCAU